rnacentral:lncRNA from 1 species
CCAAGUACUCCACAGAAAGACUGAGAGGACCCUCUGGUCUUUCCAGCGUGUUAAAAAACAAGUUUAAUGGGCAGCAGGCUGAGAGUCAGUCAAAUGAUGAAUUGAGACAAUGGUUAUCUCCAAACAACUCAUUUGCUGUACCUUUUAUCUUUGAGGCAGUGAUGCUUUUGAGAGGAUCUGCAGAUGGCUGCCAUUUAUCAAGACAGAUGAACUCAUUUGCAGGAAGAGGAAAGGCAGAGAUACAAAGAUUGACAUUUCUACUGUGUGGUUUGAAGCUAAAAUGUAAAGCCCGGGGUCCCUCCUGUCCGUGGAAUGCUCAACCGCUAAGGUGACAAAUGAAACUUCCAAACCAUGAGGAGAUAAUAUAUUUACUAAAAAGCUUCCCAAAUGUUCACAUCUAUCAUAAGAACAGGAGACAUUGUGUUCAACCGGAAGUACUCUUGGUAAAAGAAGACCUCAGUUAACUUUUGAAAGGUCAGAUAAAAACAUUCACAUUCAAAGAGCUACAAAGGGAUUUACUCUUAAACUGGGAUUGUCAGUAUGUGCUAUUUAGCUGCUGAGCACUGUAGUAUUGUAUCAUUUGCAUGUAUCUGCAUCAACAGACAUGCUGAACUGAUAUUUUCUAACUCCAGCAGAUCUGUAGCCCUCUAGGAUUCAGAAAUACCAAUCAAGUUUUGAAAUUUCAUUGGAACUGCUUGAGAACAUUUGGAUAUAUCUGGUAAGACUUGAAAAGACAUAAGCCACCUGUCUUACUGCUGGCCAGCAAAAGCUGGGAGAUGCUGAUGACUUACUGACAGCAACAAAAAUAAAGAAACAAGUGCAUGGUGAUUUCA